rnacentral:misc_RNA from 1 species
GAUUCCGAUAACGAGCGAGACUUUUAUGUUAUAUUAAAUAUUAUUAUUUUGUUUAUUUUAAUAUAAAUAAUUAAUAUUUUAAUAACAGAUUAAUAGUGUUUAACUAUUUGAGAGAGAGCGAUAACAGGUCUGUGAUGCCCUUAGAUGUCCGGGGCUGCACGCGCGCUACAAUGUAGUGAUCAUUAUGUUCCUGUUUAGAGAUAAAUGGGUAAACAUUGAAAACAUUACGUAACUGGGAGUGAAAAUUGCAAUUAUUUUUCAUGAACGAGGAAUUCCAAGUAAACGUAAGUCAUUAGCUUACAU